AUCCUGGUAUCUUAGGCGUGAAGGAACCACACCAAUCCAUCCCGAACUUGGUGGUGAAAUUUCAUUGCGGUGAAGAUACUUUAGGGGCAGCCCUGUGGAAAAAUAGCUCGAUGCCAGGAU
rnacentral:rRNA from 1 species